GCCCGAAUGGCGGAAUAGGUAGACGCAAGGGACUUAAAAUCCCUCGAUGGGUAUCCAUCGUACCGGUUCGAUUCCGGUUUCGGGCACCA
rnacentral:tRNA from 1 species